rnacentral:rRNA from 1 species
GACGAACGCUGGCGGCGUGCUUAACACAUGCAAGUCGAACGGUGAAGCGCCUUCCUUUUUGGUGGGUGUGGAUGAGUGGCGAACGGGUGAGUAACACGUGAGUAACCUGCCCCCUUCUUCUGGAUAACCGCAUGAAAGUGUGGCUAAUACGGGAUAUUCUGGGUCUGUCGCAUGAUGGGUCUGGGAAAGAUAUUGUUUCGGUGGGGGAUGGGCUCGCGGCCUAUCAGCUUGUUGGUGGGGUGAUGGCCUACCAAGGCGGUGACGGGUAGCCGGCCUGAGAGGGUGGACGGUCACACUGGGACUGAGACACGGCCCAGACUCCUACGGGAGGCAGCAGUGGGGAAUAUUGAGCAAUGGGCGCAAGCCUGAUGCAGCGACGCCGCGUGAGGGAUGGAGGCCUUCGGGUUGUGAACCUCUUUCGCCAGUGAAGCAGGCCUGCCUCGUAUGUGGGUGGGUUGACGGUAGCUGGAUAAGAAGCGCCGGCUAACUACGUG